UAACCUGCCCAAGAGAUCGGGAUAACACCUGGAAACAGAUGCUAAUACCGGAUAACAAUAGAUGAUGCCUAUCAACUGUUUAAAAGAUGGUUCUGCUAUCACUCUUGGAUGGACCUGCGGUGCAUUAGCUAGUUGGUAGGGUAACGGCCUACCAAGGCGAUGAUGCAUAGCCGAGUUGAGAGACUGAUCGGCCACAUUGGGACUGAGACACGGCCCAAACUCCUACGGGAGGCAGCAGGU
rnacentral:rRNA from 1 species